AAAGAAAUCUUCCAGGGAAAGAUGACUUGGAUCAUGUGUUCCCACACGCUGGGAAGAGCAGGAGGCCAAGGAGCCAUUUGAGCUCACGAGCAGCUGUGGGACCUUGACUGCACUUAUGAACAGUGGAGAAGUGACAAGAGUGGUUGUACAAACAAGAGUACUGGCUCUGUGGAUAUCUGUACAGGAGAGACUCUACUUCAUAUAAACACUCUCCUUCUCAGGUAAACAAACAAACACGGGGCGAUUUGUGCCUGGACAAGAAUUUUGGUUUUCCAUCUUCGCAAUUCAUUUAGAAAAACAUCAUUCAGCUGCAGAGAAGGACUAUGACCAUACACCGAUAAUCCCUGAUCAGUUUGGGCAAGAGGCUGUUUGUUCAGAAGAUUUGGCAGCUACUUUCAACUAUCAAAGAUCUCCAUAAAAAUAUGGACUGGGUGGUGCUUUGGUGGGGUUCCUCCUCUCCACAACCUGUUUUCCCCAUAUUCCUUCCCUUCACAUGAACAGUACUCUGCUCUUUAGGUGCAUGUCUGUGAAAUGUAGGGCUCUUGCACACCAAUGGCAUGUGUUUCAGGUGCCUGGGGCAAAUAAGAGCAAUGAUCUCUAAGGCAAGGAGAGAGUUGGUAGAAGUUGCCCUUGGUCUGUCCCACUUGUAAAGACAAGACACUUUUUGGCUCUUCCUGGAUCUGGUGAUAGAGAAGGGUUCAUCAGGUACCUGUGUAUUAAUUUACUAGCUCUAUGUAUAGCACAAGAUGGGGAACGCUGGCCUGGCAAGAUGGUCUGGGAAAGCUGAUCACUUAGGCCAGUAAGAGGAUAGCCCAGACUGUCAUCUGUGUGCUUUGAUCUUCAACUCUUUUGC